rnacentral:rRNA from 1 species
UACGAAGGGGACUAGCGUUGUUCGGAAUUACUGGGCGUAAAGCGCGCGUAGGCGGAUCGCUAAGUCAGGGGUGAAAUCCCAGGGCUCAACCCUGGAACUGCCUUUGAUACUGACGAUCUGGAGAUCGGGAGAGGUUGGUGGAAUUCCGAGUGUAGAGGUGAAAUUCGUAGAUAUUCGGAGGAACACCGAUGGCGAAGGCAAUCCCCUGGGCCUGCACUGACGCUCAUGCACGAAAGCGUGGGGAGCAAACAGG